UAAGGGCUGGGAAAGACCGGUGCCAGCCGCCGCGGUAAUACCGGCAGCUCAAGUGGUCGUCGCUUUUAUUGGGCCUAAAACGUCCGUAGCCUGUUUGGUAAAUCUGUGGGUAAAUCAACCAGCUUAACUGGUUGAAUUCUGCAGAGACUGCCAGACUAGGGACCGGGAGAGGUGUGGGGUACUCUAGGGGUAGGGGUAAAAUCCUGUCAUCCUUAGAGGACCACCAGUUGCGAAGGCGCCACACUGGAACGGAUCCGACGGUCAGGGACGAAGCCUAGGGGCACGAACCGGAUUAGAUACCCGGGUAGUCCUAGGUGUAAACGCUGUGAACUUGGUGUCGGGGGUCCGCAAUGGGCCCCCGGUGCCGGAGUGAAGAUGUUAAGUUCACUGCCUGGGGAGUACGGUCGCAAGGCUGAAA
rnacentral:rRNA from 1 species